GAUUGCAGAAUUCAGUGGAAUCAUCGAAUCUUUGAACGCACAUUGCGCCCCUUGGUAUCCCGAGGGGCAUGCCUGUUCGAGCGUCAUU
rnacentral:rRNA from 1 species